GAUUUGUGGUUUCAAGGGAGACACUGGCAGGAGAGAAGGGCUGGGACAUUUGGGGAGUCACAGAGGGCUCAGAAUGUGCAGGACAUAUUCUAGAACACAGAAGUGACAGCAGAUGGAUGGCAGUUCUCAUUCUGGGGGCUGGGGGAGGCACCAAAAGGUCAUUCUGCAAUUAGUGUUGAAUUAGCAUUUUGAGGUCCACUCUGAACAAAGCCCAAUGAGGGAAUUUAGAACAGGAGAACAGACUGGGCACUUCCCAACUGAUUCUUCAAGGAAAUGGCAUUGGGCUUGAGUUCUGAAGGAUAAACAGGAAUGAAGUAAGCAAAGGUCUGGAAGAAAAAGGCCCUGGACCUAGAGGUCAGCUUGUGAAGGAAGAUGAUAAGAGCUUGGGAUGUUGGCUAGAGUGCCAGGUGGCAAAUCCAGAGAAAGACUAGAACUCAAAAAGCCAUAUGUUGUUACCUGGAUUUAUCAAGAGGACAUUAAAUUGCUUACUUUUAUCAAGGCCCAAUCCUCACGCAAGAAUUCAUGUAAUAAGCAAUCAUCAUACACCUGCCAGACACAAGACAGUACUAUUUAAAUAACAAAAAUUCAGAGGACUAUGAGAAUCAUCUGCAGCCUAAUCUAACCUGGGGACAUAAAAUUAAAGAACUGAAACUUCAGAGGAGAUGGUUCCUGCUAUGAGGAAGCGCACGGCAGGGUAAUUUCUUAGAUGCUUUAUUUUUUUCUGGUGGUUUUCCCCCUAGGUACUCAUGGCAUCCUGGGGCAUUUCACCUCAGCAAAGUGGUUUUUCUGCCACUCUGGUUCCCAUGGAAACCAAUCUGGGACAGGAGAAACCAGAGGCUCCUCAAGGUCGUCAGUACCAAGGGCAGCAGAGACAAAGACAGAUUCCUCUGCUCCCUUUUAUCACAGCACGGGGCUUCAUCGCUCAGCAGUCCCGGGCCCCAGCAGACCUUUCAGGCUCUGCAGAGAGAAGCACUCGCCUCUUGGUGUGGCCUCUGGGUUCCUUGCCUCUGCGCCCCGCCCUGUGUCCGGUUCAGGAGAUGAGCGCUGCUGCAGGGUUUGGAAUGAAUGAUCGGCCCCCAUGUCCUACUCCCACCCCAACCCCACGCCCGAGUUACCAAGCUUCCAAGUGCGUCAUCUUCAUUAUCAGCUUCAGGAAAUGACUUCCAGGAGUCAGGGACUGCUGUCUGGGGGACCUUCUGAACAGAAGCAGCUGGAUGCAUAACAAGUGGCUGGCUCCCGGACUUGCAGGCCAACCCUGAGCCUGAACUGGGUAUCCUAGUCCACUGGCUCUUCUCCUCAGCUUUCCCACAGGUCCCUGGUCUCCAUGCAACUUUUCUAUUAUGCUCUGCUCUGGUACCCUUCCUUCCUUCCUUCCUUCCUUCCUUCCUUCCUUCCUUCCUUCCUUCCUUCCUUCCUUCCUUCCUUCCUUCCUUCCUUCCAAAAACCAGACUGUUUCUCAAGAAGAGAUCCUCUGCCUUCCCAAAUCCCAGGAUUUGGGGGAACAGGGUUAGUAUUUUCCUUUGAGCUGUUUAUCAGGGCUGAACAUUCUCAUAUGGGUAUAGUCCCCAGAGCUAGGCAACAGUCUCCAGUUAACCUCCAUGAGCAGGAUCCUAUCACCACAUUAUGGUGAGUCUGGGAAUCCAGGUACAGAACUCAGAAACUGUCAACCCUGUAUGAGGACAAAGUGUCUCCUGGUAAUAAGCAAUAAACAAGUUCACUCUU